rnacentral:rRNA from 1 species
CAAGGCUUGACAUAUACGAGAACACCGUGGAAACACGGGACUCUUUGGACACUCGUAAACAGGUGGUGCAUGGUUGUCGUCAGCUCGUGUCGUGAGAUGUUGGGUUAAGUCCCGCAACGAGCGCAACCCUCGUUCUAUGUUGCCAGCACGUAAUGGUGGGAACUCAUGGGAUACUGCCGGGGUCAACUCGGAGGAAGGUGGGGAUGACGUCAAAUCAUCAUGCCCCUUAUGUCUUGGGCUUCACGCAUGCUACAAUGGCCGGUACAAAGGGCUGCGAUACCGUAAGGUGGAGCGAAUCCCAAAAAGCCGGUCCCAGUUCGGAUUGAGGUCUGCAACUCGACCUCAUGGAGUCGGAGUCGCUAGUAAUCGCAGAUCAGCAACGCUGCGGUGAAUACGUUCCC